rnacentral:rRNA from 1 species
UACGUAGGGGGCAAGCGUUGUCCGGAAUUAUUGGGCGUAAAGAGCGCGUAGGCGGUCCGAUAAGUCGGCUGUGAAAGUCAGGGGCUCAACCCUUGAAAGCCGGCCGAUACUGUCGGACUAGAGUCCGGAAGAGGCGAGUGGAAUUCCUGGUGUAGCGGUGAAAUGCGCAGAUAUCAGGAGGAACACCGGUGGCGAAGGCGGGUCUCUGGGCCGAUACUGACGCUGAGGAGCGAAAGCGUGGGGAGCGAACAGG